UUCUACUGCCAUACUACCAACAUCCACCUUUGAUGUCAUAGGCCAACAUCAUAAAGUAGGAGGGACUACUUUCAGAGUAGCUCUUGAAGAUGCAGAAGGACCACAUACAGCUAGGCACAGAUGAUGAAUCUCAGCUGAAAAAAAUCAGAUGGUUGGAGACUACAGAGUGCUGGGCUUCCAGCUUUCAGUGCAGGAAAUGGCAGAAGAAAGCAGGUGAUCUACAGGAAGAUUUACAGAAUUGCUGCCUGGACAGGAAAAGAAACUACCCAUGGAACUUCUCCAGACAACCUGCCAGAAAGAGGAAUAGAAUGAGUGGAAUUAACAUCUGGAAAUUAAGCACGGACAAGGAAAAUCAGUGUUUAUUAUAACGGGAGACAGGAGCGGAUUGAGUCCUCAUAUGUUUAGUUCUGUCCAAUAAACUAAACCAAGGGAUGAAAGGCAAAACAUUUCAAUGUGCAGAUCUUAAAACUCCAGAGAAUUGAAUGAUCUAUCAUUUAACCACCUCAUUGUUUACUGCUGAAGCGCUGAUCUCGAUAAAGAAUUUCAAAGGUUUGGCACGAGAA